CCUACGGGGGGCAGCAGUGGGGAAUAUUGGACAAUGGGGGCAACCCUGAUCCAGCCAUGCCGCGUGUGUGAAGAAGGCCCUCGGGUUGUAAAGCACUUUCAGUGAGGAAGAACGCCUGGUGGUUAAUACCCAUCAGGAAAGACAUCACUCACAGAAGAAGCACCGGCUAACUCCGUGCCAGCAGCCGCGGUAAUACGGAGGGUGCGAGCGUUAAUCGGAAUUACUGGGCGUAAAGCGCGCGUAGGUGGCUUGAUAAGCCGGUUGUGAAAGCCCCGGGCUCAACCUGGGAACGGCAUCCGGAACUGUCAAGCUAGAGUGCAGGAGAGGAAGGUAGAAUUCCCGGUGUAGCGGUGAAAUGCGUAGAGAUCGGGAGGAACACCAGUGGCGAAGGCGGCCUUCUGGACUGACACUGACACUGAGGUGCGAAAGCGUGGGUAGCAAACAGGAUUAGAUACCCCAGUAGUC
rnacentral:rRNA from 1 species